CAGAUUUUUAAAAAUUAUAUUGUUUUUUAAUACUUUUGAGUACUUAUGACAGUUUUGUUUUUGAAGUGAAAACUUCUUUAGUAUCGUAGUGAUUUGAAACAAGAUGAAACGAAAAAGCGACACGAAAAAUAAUUUGAUUAUAACUUCUUUGUUUUAAUAGAUAGAUAAAUUAAAUUUAUACUGUAGAUAGGUAAUUAAAUAAACUAUGACUGUGCAAUUUCAUUUUCAUUCAAUUUCUAUUAAUUUUCUAUUAAUUUCAUAUUCAAUAUCCUGAGAUAAUUAUCAUACAAUCAGAAAUUAAUAUUAUGUUCCGUCAAUAGAAAGCAUGAGAGAUAAUUGAAACAGGAGAUGUACCUAUAAUAAAAUUUUGUAGAUUCAAAAGUUGAUACUUGAUCAUCAAAAUACAUAAUAUUGUUUAAGUUAUAAUAAACUUUGCAUAUAAACAAACUCAAACCCACUUUACUGUUAACCCCACUAAAACUUUAACCCCACCCUUAUUCCUAUAACGUGUUACUCCAGUCAAAGCGUCAUUUGACCUUGCGCAGAGAGGCACUGUCAGUUUUUAUUUCAUGGAUUGAUAGGGGUAUAUUUAAAAGGCUUAAACCCAAUUUCUCACCACCUGAUCAUUCUUAUUAGCGGAGUUAUUCGCAAAAAUGCAUUUUUUGGGAUAUUUUACUUCUGAGCUAAUAUCUUUGCUCCAGAUUAUCGUAGACCAAAAAAUAAACAUACAUUCUCUUCCUUAUAAUAUUUUCUAUCGUUGUAUGUAAUUUCAUUGUAUUUGAGUGAGUAAAUACAAAAUGGCAGCCAUUUAAAGUCAAAUUCUUGUUGUUAAAAAACACAUUUUUGUCAUUAUUUCGAAAAAAGCUUAUAUCAUGAUUGACAUUUUUCUAAUUUAUUUUGUAGCCCUAUUCAUGUCCUGCAUUUUACAGAAAAAAUUUUCUUGCGGAAUGAUGCUUUCUUAAAAUUAUAAUAACUCGGCUCGUGUGGGACGUAGAGAGCUAAUUUUUUUUUUUAAUUGUAGAUAAUUUAAAGGACUUCAACAGUAAUUUAUUUUUUUAGCCAAUACUUGCACCGUUGCACCAAUAAUAAGGCAAGAGUUUGCUAAACAAAAAAACGUCUUUGACUUAAUAUUACUUAUUUUUUAUUUGUUUCAACAGAAAUAAUGUGCACCAAAUCGAUAGAAAAUGUUGUAACAAACAAUUAAUAGCUUUAUUUUUUGUCGUAGGACACUCUGAAGCCGAGUUAUUCCCAAAAAACGAUAUUUUUGGGUGUUUUCGCACCGGUUUUGCAUGCGUUCAUUUAUCAAUUGCUCGGCCAUCUUUGGUGAUAGAGAGAUGAUUUUUUCUGUAAAAUGCAGGACAUAAAUAGGGCUACAAAAUAGAUUAGAAAAAUGUCAAUCAUGAUAUAAGCUUUUUUCGAAAUAAUGACAAAAAUGUGUUUUUUAACAACAAGAAUUUGACUUUAAAUGGCUGCCAUUUUGUAUUUACUCACUCAAAUACAAUGAAAUUACAUACAACGAUAGAAAAUAUUAUAAGGAAGAGAAUGAAUGUUCAUUUUUUGGUCUACGACAAUCUGGAGCAAAGAUAUUAGCUUAGAAGUAAAAUAUCCCAAAAAAUGCAUUUUUGCGAAUAACUCCGCUAAUAAGAAUGAUCAGGUGGUGAGAAAUUGGGUUUAAGCCUUUUAAAUAUACCCCUAUCGAUCCAUGAAAUAAAAACUGACAGUGCCUCUCUGCGCAAGGUGAGGCCCUUUUUUCCGACGCUUUGACUGGAGUAUGUCCAAGAAGUAGUUUUUUAAAUGAUUAAAUGUAUUCAUGUGUACAACAAAAACAAAAAGAAGCAACAAGCACCAAACAGCAAACAAGGACCAACAAACAACCAAACACCCCAAUAACCAACCAAACAACUUAAUAACAAAAAAACAAACACCUAACAAUAAACAUGAAACAAUGAACAUCAGAGAAUAAACAACAAUUAACAAUCGACAGACAAAAAACAAGAGGCAACCAAACAAUUAAAUCGUUAUACAACCAAACAACAAAACACUUACAACAAACGAACAAUCAAACAAACAAUCAAACAAACAAUCAAACAAACAAUCAAACAAACAAUCAAACAAACAAUCAAACAAACAAUCAAACAAACAAUCAAACAAACAAUCAAACAAACAAUCAAACAAACAAUCAAACAAACAAUCAAACAAACAAUCAAACAAACAAUCAAACAAACAAUCAAACAAACAAUCAAACAAACAAUCAAACAAACAAUCAAACAAACAAUCAAAUAAACAAUCAAACAAACAAUCAAACAAACAAUCAAACAAACAAUCAAACAAACAAUCAAACAAACAAUCAAACAAACAAUCAAACAAACAAUCAAACAAACAAUCAAACAAACAAUCAAUCAAACAAACUAAACAAUCAAACAUACAAUCAAACACAAUCAAACGAAUAAUCAAACAAACAAUCAAACGAACAAUCAAACAAACAAUCAAACAAACAUACAAACAAUCUAACCAACAUUCAACUAUAUACAUAAAACACUAAACAUAAAACACUAUUUGAUUGCACUCAUAACCAUAGCAGCGAAGCGCUAUGCAACGGGCAAGUCGGCUAGUAUGUAUAUAAUACCAUAGCCUAUUUUUGCUAAUUUUGAAAAUCUCCAUUUCGCGAUUUGACCUUGAAAUCGCGACAAGAGGACAUGAGAUUUUUCUAGACUUUUGAGAUAUGUUAUAGAAUGGCAAAAGGAAGAUAUUGAGCAAAAAAAAUUUCUAUUAACAUUCAUUCCGAGAUUUACCCUUUUUUUCUCCUUAUUUGACUGUAUUAUUAGUGUUUUUUUUAUCAAAGGAAAUUUCUUUAAAAAUACUGUAUUGAAAAUACAGUAUUUUGCCGUACAGAAUUUUACAAAACAGAAUUUUGCAAGUCAGUAUUUUGUUGUACAGAAUUUUGUAUUUACAGUAUAAUGACGUACAGAAUUAUGGUCUUACAGUAUUUUGACCCUACAGAAUUUUGUCGUACAGAAUUUUGACAAGCAGAAUUAUGACCCGCUCCCAUUUUUUAAUUGUACUGAAAAUUUAAUUUGGAUUGUAUUGAAAUGGAUACAAUUGUAUUGAAAUAUAUUUUUCACACGAGAAAUUAAUAUAAAAUUUAAUUAAAAUGUUUUAUUUGCAAAAACUAUAAAAUUUUGCGUAGAUAUACAUUUCACUAUUUCCUGCGUAAAAGAGUAAUUUUUAUUUAAUUUCGGUAUAGAGCGGGCGGCGGCGGCUGCAGAAACGCUCAACUCAUCGAGCUAAAGAGAAAUUCACUUUUGUAGUAAAAGAUGACUCUGAGUAACUUCGAAAACCAGAGGUCUUCCCGUCCGCAUCCUGGCAGGAUUGGCGUAGCAGGGUGAAAUCGGGUGCAUUUUUUAGGCACCCUUCAACUCAUCGAGCUAAAGAAAAAAAUUGCCAUGGUGGUCUUAGACUCAAUUAGUGUAUCAAAAAACCACAGGUCUUCCUUUCGGUAACCUGGCAGGAGUGGCGGUAGGGCGCAUCAAAGUGGUCGAUUUUUAGGGCGCUCCUAACUCAUCGAGCUAAAAGAUGAAAUUGGUGUCAAAUGAAAGGUAGCAAUGUCUUCUUUAAUAAUUCAGAGGUCUUCCUGGCCAAAUCUUGGCAGUUUUUGCACGCGAACAGCUUUAAGGUUGGAAACGAUGAAAAUGAGUUUUUUGUUAAAGUCUUGUUUUUUGGUGUGUAGACCGGUGAUUUAAGAAAUUGUUUUGUUACCAAAUCAAAGAUAACAACAUGAAUUUACUAAAUCCAUAAAAAAAAUUAGGAAUAGAUUAAAAAUUUCUAAAAAUAGACCAUUAGAAUGUCAAAAAAUACCUAUAUUUCUAAGCAAUUAAUCAAAAAGUAUGCUCUGCAUUUUUAUACAUAGUUAUCGAACUUAAGACUGGGUUCCCUUUUUCAGCGAAGUCAGAUCUCAUGUAAAAGCAUUUGUGUGUAUUAGUGAAUGUGUUUCGCUCUCUCGCCAUCGAAUUCUCUGGUUUUUUUCUCUCAGGAUGUUGGUUAUGGUUUUCAUUCAUUGUCUCUUUGUGAGAUCGCCAUCGCACUCACGCGUUCGGGGUGGCAUGCAAAUGGAUGUAGGUAUACAUAGAUCUUUAUAUGCAUAUGGUGUUUGUGGACGAACACUGGUUUAAAAUUCAAUAUUUUCAUGAAAGAUUUCUGGAGUGUAUACCUAUUUAUUUUUGAAAUGAAAAAGAAACUUGUUUCCAUGUUGAUGUUGUGGAUGGCAUUUGAGUUUUUUGUGUAUCAGAGAAAUUUUUUGCAUUAUAAUAAUAAUUAUAGUUGUUCAGCGGAGAAGCAGGUAGAGGAUGUGUUAUGUGGGUGCAUUGAUAUAAUAUACUUGACAGUAUCCUUUGUGUAGUGUGUAUAAAAAUAUGAGUAGAUGCGCAGAAGGAUUGAUUUUCAGGUUCUUGCUUACUUUUGAGUUGUUCUUCGUUGAGAAAUUUUUUGUCUAGCACUCGCGCUGACAUGAAAAUGUAUGUACAUACAAUAUAUAGAAUGUUUAGGUUCAUAUGUGUAUGUUGUUUGAGGAUGGACUCGAGAUAAAUCUUGUAUGACAUUAUGAUCAUGGAGAAUGCCGCAAAAAAUGUCUCCUGAACUGAUUUUUUGAAACUUAGGCCUCAUGCUGAUUGCACUAAAUAUUUAGCCGAGAAUAAAUGUUGAUAGUUAUGAUUAUGACUGUGUAUAAAAUUUAGCCUUGAAUAAAUAUAGCUGUGUGAAUUUGGAUAGACCAAACAAACCAAGAUUAUUACCUAAUUAUUUUUAUGCAAAUACAUAUGUAGGUAUAUCAAUCCAAUUUACUUUCAACACCUUUUUAACCCUCUACUGCAUGAAUUAAUAUUAGCGGACGAAAAAAUUUAAAAAUGCUUUACAUGGGUUCUUUGGGUUGUUUCAAAACGGUUUACAUUAAAAAAAUUUGUUUAAAUUAAUUAAUUUAAAAAAUUUGUUUAUAAGCCAAAUUUGGCUUCGUAUGCAUUAAGGGGUAAGAAAUUUUACUAAUCAAGGGGCACGGUAGUGCCCAGCCAAGUUCUCUAGCAACUUUGGCACUACACCCUUAUUUACAGGAAACAACUCAGGCCAUUUUCGACCCCCCUCUAACUUAAACACCAAAGAUGCUAGAAAUUUCAAUUAUUGAGCUUGUCAAAACCAAACUCCUCACAAAAUUUCAGCCUUUUACGAUGAGUAGUUUCUGAGAUAUAGGGCUUCAAAAAUCGCAAAAACCGUAACUGACUGACUGACUGACUGACUGACUGACUGACUGACUCACUCACUCACUGACAGAUCAUCAAAAUUAUGGAGAACUUCCCGUUAACGUAGAAACUUGAAAUUUUACACGGUGAUAGGGCUUGUGGUGUAUACAAAGGGAAAAAUCGAAAAUUUGAGAUUUUCAAUUCAGGGGGCGUGGCAUCCGCCCAUUUCCGCUGAAUUAUCAUCAAAUAUUAUAGAGCACUUCUGAUUAUCGUAGAAUCUUGAAAUUUGGUAGAAUGGUAGAGAUGGUAGUUUAUACAAAGGAAAAAAUUUAAAAUUUGAGAAUUUCAGCCAGGGGGCGUGGCAUCCGCCCAUUUCCGCUGAAUUUUCAUUAAAUAUAAUAGAGCACUUCUGAUUAUCGUAGAAUCUUGAAAUUUGGUAGAAUGGUAGAGAUGGUAGUUUAUACAAAGGAAAAAAUUUAAAAUUUGAGAAUUUCAUCCAGGGGGCGUGGCAACCGCCCAUUUCCGCUGAAUUUUCAUUAAAUAUAAAAGAGCACUUCUGAUUAUCGUAGAAUCUUGAAAUUUGGUAGAAUGGUAGAGAUGGUAGUUUAUACAAAGGAAAAAAUUUAAAGUUUGAGAAGUUCAGCCAGGGGGCGUGGCAACCGCCCAUUUUCACUGAAUUUUCAUCAAAUAUAGAGAUUUUCAAUUCUACAGCCAUACCUUGCAAAAAGUAGUGAAAUCACAACAAAAACAUUACUGUUAAAAAAGGAGCCAAGUUCUCCUAUGUUGAAAUUAUGCUGGCACAAAAAGUACUGAGAUGUAAAAGUGUACCAAGUUCUAAAGUUUUGGUUCAAAUUCGUAUCAAUAAAAUUUUGAUUGUUUACUUGGAAAUUUUUGAAAUAACUUUAAAAAUCGGUAAUUAAAAGAAAAAUUGUCAAGAGAACAAUCAAAAUUUUAUUGAUACGAAUUUGAACCAAAACUUUAGAACUUGGUACACUUUUACAUCUCAGUACUUUUUGUGCCAGCAUAAUUUCAACAUAGGAGAACUUGGCUCUCUUUUUAACAGUAAUGUUUUUGUUGUGAUUUUAUUUAUUCAGAUUAGGUAAAGAAUAAAAUUAAAAUUAUAAAAAGAUAAAUAUUUAUCAUUUAAAAACAAAAUAAAGUAAAAUAAAUACAUUGCAUUACAAAAGGUUAAGAAUUACUUCAAACUUGGCUCAUUUUAAGCCAUGGAACCGAGAAAAGCAAUUUGUUUUUUCAGUUACAUAUAUUUUUUCUGGUUCACAUUCUUUCCACUGUCGAAGUAAGUCUUGCUCCAACAUUUUCACCCACUCCCAGAUCUUAAAAAAACUAAAAAGUAAUAAAAUGAUUGAAAAAUAUUAUAGGUGAGCCUCCCUCCACCUAAUUUUUUUGUAUUUACGCCCCUGGAAAUGGGGUUAACAUUAAAAAAAUGUCUCUAAAAACGAAGGGGCUCCAUUUCUGAAGUAAAACAUAGCUUCCAAGCAAAGUAAAAAUGUAAAGGAACAAAAUUUACAACAAAAAAAAUAUAACAAAUUUUGUAGAUUUAAAACCCCUUAAUGCAUACGAAGCCAAAUAUGGCUUCCGUACUUUUUGCCCUCCCAAGACCAGGCCAAUCAUUUUUUUUUUCAAUAAAAAUUGGUUCAUAGCAUACAUAAUAAGACAAUCCAUCAAAAAUAAAUUUUUAAUUCCACUUUUCUUUCCAAACAAACGCAGUAAUUAACACUUAAAGUAUGAAAAUAUUCUACACUUUCGAUUUCAAUGCACACGACUGAUCGACUCACCUGUGAUCAUAAAAUACACCUUUAUUUUGUGUCGGACACACGAAAAAACUAUCUCUAUGGGUUCUCAGAAACACAAAGAAGAGGAUUGUAUUGAAUCUUUACCAUUUUUUUGUUACAGAGAAGAGAAAAGUGCAUGUGCAUACAAAUAGACAAAACCAUAUUUGGCUUCGUAUGCAGUAGAGGGUUAAUAAAGAUUUUUUUUAGAGUAACCAAUGCAAUGAACUCAGUUCGUAACUGAAUCGAUUUUGUUUUUUAUUUACCUAUAUACCUACAUUAUUAGGAAACAAAAAUAAGGCAGCAUUUAUAACUUAUGUUACUUUUUUUUAGGGAAGUUUUCAAAAAUAACUUUCAUAUAACCUUUUACCCAUUCCCCCGCGAAAAUAUAACUAUUAUACCUAAAAUGGCAAAAAUUCUCUGUGGUAACCUACAAAAAAAAACCCGAAUCCGCAACAUAUAAACAAAGACAAUGAAAAACAAAAGGACAUAUUUAUAUUAUAUAACCCCGCACGCGCGAGUGUAGUAUAAUAAACAAUACAACCCAGAAAUCAACCUAAAUAUGCAAAUCAUUGUGCACAAGCACAUGUCGAAUGGCAAUACACAUUUUUACACACAAACAAGUGCAUACUUACCAAUGUACCCACAUAUCAAAUCCUUUACCUAUAUCCCCGCACGAGCGAUGUGAAUAUUACACAAUGCAAAGAAUUUCGCUGACAAAGAAAAAAAUCAAAAGUGUCAACUCGCACGCGCGAGUGCGAUAUUAUAAACACGAAAUACAUUGUUAGGAAAAACCCGAGCAUAGAGGAAGGAAUACCUAGAGUAGAGACGCGACUUCGGUUGGUUUUUCUCUUCCACCCUACAAGCUGCAAUGAGAGGAAAAACUCCACAGUGCUUAUAUGUGGUAGUUUUCCCGUGCAUUUUAAAUGGCACCAACACAUUCAACUGUGGAGUUGAGCUCAAAACAAUUAAAAACAAUUUAAGUGCUCAGUAGGAAAUAAAUUCAUAAAAAAAUAAUAUAAUAAAUUCAAAACACGAACCUUUUUUUUUAUUUCUGUACAUAUUUAUUGAAAGGUGGGUGUCUGGAGUGAGCUAUUUGAGCUAUUCAAGUUCAUGUACAAACCAAAAUCAUGUUUAAAUUCAAAAUUUGUGAGGACAUCUACUGGUGAAAGGAAGGUAUUAAACGAAUUGUACUCAUUGUAUAUAUAUUUCUAUAAAUAUAUAUACAAUGUUGUACUUUUCACACGUAUUCACAGAUAGGAAAACAAGAAAAAUAUAAGAGAGAUUAUCUGAAAUUAAAUUUGCGGGUGUUUUAGGUAAGGGGGGUACGAGUCGGCUCUCUAGGUAUUCCUUCCUCUAUGAACCCGAGAGUCAACAAGAACAAAACAACCCUUUUUGAAAACCAAAGAUAAUGAUCUUGCAAAUAAUAUCUACUAUCUAAUUACUCUCUGCAGCAUCUUCAUGAUUUCAUGAAUGAUUUCUGCCUGCCUGAGUGAGGAAAUAGGAAACAAAAAAAAAAGUAUUAUGUAAACACAAAAAAAAAAAAAAUAUAA